rnacentral:rRNA from 1 species
CCUACGGGUGGCAGCAGUGAGGAAUAUUGGUCAAUGGGCGCGCGCCUGAACCAGCCACGUAGCGUGAAGGAUGACUGCCCUACGGGUUGUAACCUUCUUUUAUAAAGGAAUAAAGUGAGUCACGUGUGCCUUUUUGUAUGUCCUUUAUGUAUCAGGAUCGGAUAACUCCAUGCCAGCAGCCGCGGUAAUACGGAGGAUCCGAUCGUUAUCCGAAUUUAUUGGGUUUAAAGGGAGCGUAGAUGGGUUGUUAAGUCAGUUGUGAAAGUUUGCGGCUCAACCGUAAAAGUGCAAUUGAUACUGGCAGUCUUGAGUACAGUUGAGGUAGGCGGAAUUCGUGGUGUAGCGGUGACAUGCUUAGAUAUCACGAAGAACUCCGAUUGCGAAGGCAGCUGACUAAACUGCCACUGACAUUGAUGCUCGAAAGUGUGGGUAUCAAACAGGAUUAGAUACCCCUGUAGUC